AAGGAUCAUUACCGAGAGCCUGGGGUCUAACCGGCCCCACUCUUCACCCGUGUCUACGAAAUAACAUGUUGCUUUGGCGGGCCAGGGCCCGUCCCUGGAUGGGCUUAAUCUCCCCACCCCGUGCCCGCCAAAGGCUCGACCAAACUCUGUCAUUAGUGUUGUCCGAGUAAAUCUUAUAAUAACUAAAACUUUCAACAACGGAUCUCUUGGUUCCCGCAUCGAUGAAGAACGCAGCGAAAUGCGAAAACUAAUGUGAAUUGCAGAAUUCCGUGAAUCAUCGAGUCUUUGAACGCACAUUGCGCCCUUUGGUAUUCCGAAGGGCAUGCCUGUUCGAGCGUCAUUGCACCCCUCAAGCACUGCUUGGUAUUGGGCUUCGUCCCCGUGACGGGCCUGGAAUCUAGUGGCGGUCCAGCGAGACUUCAAGCGUAGCAAGAUUUCACGAUCCCGCUUUGGAAGGUUCCUGCUGUGUGCCGGCCAGACAACCCCAUUAUUGUAUCAAUGGUUGACCUCGGAUCAGGUAGGGAUACCCGCUGAACUUAA
rnacentral:rRNA from 1 species